ACUGGCAAGGAUGACAUUCACUUGCCCUCACUUAGACUACAGUUCAUUGAUGAGAGUAAGAUUGUUCUGAGCCAGU